AGGACGCAGAGUUGGCUUAUUUUCUCCUGAACAGGUGGACUCUGACUCUUAAAAUGUUGCUGAAGUGGUCAUUCAGUCAGUCAGUUGUAUGUCCUCUGAAGAUCUCACACCUCUCCAUCUGUUGGAACCAUGUUGUGUUAUCUGUCCAGCUUGAGUCCAGCUUUGUACCAUUUUGAUUCUUGCUGCUGGGAUAAAAUGGCCUUGAUUCUCUAUAUGUCAGAGCAGUUUGUCUGACAAACUGCAUAUGGUAUACAGUAUCGGCA